GUUACAUUUAUGGCAUUCACAAAUUUUUAGUUACUUUGUCAUGCCUUAAGUGAGUGAUUAUUGAUAAUUUAUUACAAAUAUAUGGAAUUUCCUCAUGGUAUUUUUAAUUUAAAUACAUAUGACCACCUAUUAGCUCAAAGUACUUGUCAAAAUAAAUUGUAAGCUCAAGCCUCAUUAUCAGUUAUAGUUUAAAUAUAGUGAAUAUGAUACUGUGUUACUUCAUAAUUUUGAUGCUCUUUGUAGUAAAUUUGAUAUAGAACAGUUGCUAAAGAAACACUGUUCAAAUGUGUAACCAUUUUUAUGGAAAACAUCUGGGAUAAUUAUAAUUAGUUCAGGAUGUGUAUUGUUUGUUUAAAAACCUCUUAAAUUCAUGGAGAAAGAAGCAUAUCUUUUUCUCAAUGACUAGAAUAAUCCAAAUUAAUAUGAAAAAAAUCGUUUAUGUUAUUGGUAGCUGUGGCUUAGGGUAUAAUUUUGGAGUAUUCCAAAAGGAAAUGGGAAGUAACUUUUAUGUAAAAUGCCAAAUUGGCACUUUACACCUGUUAGUGUGUAUCGUUUAGAACAGCUGUGUCUUUUAUUAUCAGUAAACAGAUGCAGAAAGUAAUGGAAUGUUUUAAAGCAAUAUGUUAAUCCUGUCUUCCACUACUGAACUGUCUCACAAUAUAGUGAUUAAAUAUUGACUGUGCAGCUGUUACUUACAAUUAUAGAAUUUCUUAGUUAAUUUAUCCUUCCCAGGCCCAAAUGUUUUUAUAUUUGAAGAUCUAAUGUCUACUCUUCAAGUGUUUCACAAAGUAGUUUGUUUAUUACAAGUUGAUUGCUAAGAUACAUUAUUUGCAUAAUUUGGAGACAAAUUCAUGUGUAUAAAAUUCUUAUUAAAUAUUUCUAUGAAUUGACUAGUGUUCUUGGUAGGCUAAAUAAUUUUCAAAGUUUGUUUAUUUUUCAUGUUCAUUAAUAUGAAGAUAAUUAUUAAAUGUAUCAAUUUAAAUUUUAUGCUUGAAAACUGCAAUUGGUGAACUAAAAGGAAAUUAUUCAUCAAAUAUUUAUGAACCAGAGUACUUAAUACCUUCUUAGAACAGUUACUGUAUUCAGG
rnacentral:lncRNA from 1 species